rnacentral:rRNA from 1 species
GAUGAACGCUGGCGGCGUGCCUAACACAUGCAAGUCGAGCGAACAGACGAUGAGCUCGCUCCUUUGACGUUAGCGGCGGACGGGCGAGUAACACGUGCAUAACCUUCUUCUAAUACUGGGAUGACUUCGGGAAACCGGUGCUAAUACUGGAUAAUAUAUUCAACCGCAUGGUGCAAUAGAGCUUGACGGCUUUGCUGACACUAAUAGAUGGUUCCGCGCCGCAUUAGCUAGUUGGUAAGGUAACGGCUUACCAAGGCGACGAUGCGUAGCCGACCUGAGAGGAUGAUCAGCCACACUGGAACUGAGACACGGUCCAGACUCCUACGGGAGGCAGCAGUAGGGAAUCUUGGACAAUGGGCGAAAGCCUGACCGAGCAACACCGCGUGAGUGAUGAAGGUCUUCGGAUCGUAAAACUCUGUUAUUAGGGAAGAACAAAUGUGUAAGAAUCUAUGCACGUCUUGACGGUACCUAAUCAGAAAGCCACGGCUAACUACGUG